AAAAAAAGAAAACCCAACAAAACAAAGAAAAAAGGAGGAGUCCUGGGCUUGGCAUUAAGAUACUGAACUCAGGAGUGGGGACAACCUCUCCGGGCAGGCUGUGUGAACUUGAAUUUGAUUCUUUACUUCUUGGGCCAUCUCGGCUUCAAAGGUCCCCGACAUUCACCAUAAAUCUCAUGACUUAUUUUUAUUUCUUCCACAGCACCUGGCACAAGACUGAGACGAUGGCAGCAGACUCAAUGGCUACGUCCAGUAUGAGACCAUUUAGAUGACAUUCUGGAAAAGGUAGAAAACUACAGGGACAGAAAACAGAUCAGUGGUUGCCAGGGUGAGGUGCAGGAGUUGACUAUAAAGGGGCAUGUGGGAAUUCUCGGGGGGGGGGGUGGACGAUGGAAUUAUUCUUUAUCUUGAUUUGCCAAAACUCAUGGAACUCAGCUAUGAGAGAAGACUCAGUUUUACCAUAUAUAAAUUACACUUCAAUAUAAACUUGGGAAGGAAGUGGUGGCAGAAACAACGAAUGGAGAGUAUGUCAUUCCAUUCACCCUUUCUCUCAUUCCCUCAGUCUGCUGAGUCAGGCCACUGGGUCGGUCAACGGGUCAGAGGGGGCCAUGCCCUCCUGGGGCUCACACCUCGUAGGGAAGACAGCCACUAAACAGAAGUACCUACAAGACAAUGAGUGUUCCGAUGAGAGACAGAUGGGAGCGCACAGCAGGGGCCUAGGGGGCAGAGAGACCUCCUGGACAAGUGACAUUUCAGAUGGACUUCAGGCAUGAACAGGAAGUAGCCAGCUAAGUUGGGAGGAUAGGAGUGGCGAGGAAGGGAGAAAGUGUUCCACACAUCUCGUGGGUUUGAGGCAUGGAUGAAAUUUGGCGUGGGAAGAACAUGAGGCAGAGAGGCCUCCAGCGGCUGGGCUGUGUAGGGCCUUUGAAUGGGCUGAGAAGUCUGUUUUACUCCUCGUGCAGGCGGGAGCCAGGGAAGGUCUAUUCGAAGAUGGGCCUACACCCUUCACCCCACAACGCUCCUCUUCCGGGCACUCCAGUGGGCACUCCAGUGGGCACUGAGGCCUUGCCUGAAGGAGCAAAGACCUGGAAACAGUGUGCAUCUCCAGGAGACCGGGCCUCUACACUAUGGCGUGUUCAGAAGCUAGGAACAGCAGCAAGGACGUCAAGGCUGGAGCCACAUGUACCAGCAUCCACAACAUAAUGGUGAGCCCACGAAACAAGGUGCAGGAUGGAAGAGUCUGACGUUUGUCUAUGGGCUGGACGCGGGCACAUGCUGUGUGCCGGGUGUGGCUGUUAGAGCGGCAGUCAGGGCGCGGAGUCACGUGCAGGAGUGACAGAGAGCAAAUUCAGGAUGCACAGGACGCAAAUUCAGCGUCGGCUUCCAGGAAGAGUGAGGUUAGGGAUGGGUCUUCAACUCUAUCUUUGAUGUUUUCUUUCUUUUAAAAACAUAGGAUUGAAUUAUGAUCAAAACUUAAGGUGAAAAUCGGGUAAUGGGAAGAUGGGUGUUCACUGAGUUAUUCUGUCAUUUUCUUGAUGUUUGAAAUAUCAUAGACCUAACAUCAAAAAGUAAGGAAGGAAAUAAGUUCGCUGUGGCUUCAGCACAGAGAAUGACCUUCUUAACAGCAAGGCUGGGGCCGGAGGUCCCGAGGAGGCUGUAGUGUCGGCGAGGCAGGACCCAGGGGGGCCUGGAAGAGGACGGGCAGAGUGCAGGGAGACGUUUCCAGGCUCCAGGGAGACAUAGGAGACUGCCGCAACAGGACCUGCGGCUGAGUGCGGGCGGGGAGAGGGCCGCGGAGGAGGGGCGACAGGCGCGCUUCCCACACUGCGGCCUGGGCAGCUGGGUGUGGGGGGCCGUUCCGAGGGGACACUGCAGCAGGCACCCAGGGGUGGGGGAGGCGAUAUUGAGAAGCCCUGUCAUCAUUCGUCAGAGCAGCUGCUACUCAAGCUCACGUUUCCUGUGGGCCGCCGUGUGCCGGGCGCUGGGCUAAGGCACAGGAAUGAACUACUUCAGUCCUCACAACGACUCCCAGCGUGAGCCCAGCACCUCCAUCUUCCUCAUCUGACAGAGAUGAGACAUCGUGCCCAGAGUCACACAGCUGGGAACCAGUCAGAUGUUCCAUAUUCUUAGCAGCCCACCUGGGCAGCUGGGUGGUGCCCACCCCCUGCACCUGCGUGGCCGUCAGUGGUGGAGUGACCAGCCACCUUCCAGGACACGGCUCCGCUGCGCUCCACAUAUCAACGCGCAUGAGCCUCAGAAACACAACUGUGAGCCACAAAAAGCCAGUCCACUCCUGGGAUGAGGGAAGGGAACCCAGACGCAUCUAGUACGGCAUAUGAAUGCAGCAGUGUGCUGAGGGUGGGUCCACACGGCUUCAUUCCAUUCUCAUAACAGGCCUGCGGCGGAAAUACAAACCCCUCGCUCUAGGCGGGGAAACUGAGGCUCAGACAGGCAUUGCAACCUGAUCCAGGCCCCACGACUAGAGCAAGGAUCUGAACCAGAUCAGGAGUGGAAAGCCUACGUGUUUCUACCCAUCCUCUGUCCGCCAGUCACCGCAGGCACGACAGCCUGCCUGCCUUCUCUUCAUUCACUCGUUCCCUCACUCACUCCAAGAUGUAAAGCACCUACUACUUUGUGUCACGCACUCUGCUAGGCAUUGGAAAUAAAAGAAAUUAGACACAAACCUUGCUUUCAAGGAGUCUGCAGCCUGCAGGACUGGGACAAGUGAAAAUGGGUCAUUUGCAUAUUCUAAAAGCCCAGCUACACAGUCCAUCUAUCCAAUGUUGACAGCAAAGUGAGGCAUUACAUUUAAAAAGUGAUCCGCGUGGAUUAAAUUUUUUGCGAGGCUUCGAAUCUUACAUAAGAGUAGCUUGGUUAGUAAGACAGAGAGAACAGAGACAGUGACUCGGGGCCCUCUGAAACACACAAGGCAUUCAGGAACUAUAAAAGGAUUAUGAAAAAUAUUAUAUUCCAAAAACAGCAGGCAAACAACAGCUGCCUUCAGUUUUCAAUAGAAGCCAAUUGAAAAUGCACACCCGCCAUAAUUUUCAGAGACAAAUCUCUCUGCAGUUUAUCCGAUCCCCUGUUUUAAUUUCCAUACCCAGCCCUCUAUCUGCAGUAAUAAUAACCCAAAUUCCAUUUAGUGUUCAUUUGAGCAGUCAGGAUAAAGUCAUUUCUUAUUAUCUCCCCACUGUGUAAAAAACAGCUUGAAGGUAGGAAGUCAGCAAGCAUUUUCACCAAAAAGUAAUUAUUGUAAGUGACAUUUUUACUGCUGGCAUGCCAUAAGGCGAACUGUGCAUUCAGAAGGACAAGUUGCUGAAACAAAAUGACAGGGUACUCUGUGACAUUCUGACAAGAACCCAAACAUUAUUUAACUGGCGGCUGGUCUGAUGCACCACUUUUCAUUACGUCCAUAGUUUAGGCUUUGAGCCUGUGCCAAGCCAGGAAAUUCCAAGCGACUACAGAGACAGACAGGGAUGGAAAGAUGGGAAAGAGGAGGGAAGAGAUGGGGGAGGCGGGGAGGGUGGCCAGGGAGCAGCAUGGUCAAGGCCUGGCACAUUAGAUGUGGGCGAGGAGGGGGGGAGUCAGAGAGAAGGGGAAUCGGGAGUGCAGGAGAGGCAGCGAGGGGAAGAUGGAGCCAGAGGGGACAGGAGCAAGGAUGUACAGAAGGUUCUGGAGUGCCUGGUGCUGGUGUCCUCGGUCCAGCGGGAGCCCUGGUAGCCUAGAAGGACCCUGCCUUGCUUCAGGGCCUCUCCAGCUGACAGCUUCAAAAGCCGUGACAGGCUGCCCACCUGCCUGGAACCCUUCCCAGCCAAGUUCAGAUGUAGAGAUUGUGAUGUGGACACUAAACUGAGCCGAAACAUGGGGACCCGCUCGCCUGCUCACGCGGUCCAUCUCCGGAGAGACCCGCCAUGUGAGGUUGCUGGACGGUCCCAUUAGAAAUAAUGAGCUGCUCGGCAUCAAAGGUGAACAGCAACCUAAGUGGCCCGCCUGUACUUCAGUCAUCAGUUGGCCAGGCGUGUGCCGCCCAGUAAUGUGACAUCUUCUUCCUGAUGAGUUCCGACAGCUCCAAACCUUUUCCCAGUGGUGGCAGCGUUCACGGCCGCCUCGGGUCCUGACCCUGCCUCUGAGUCUAACGGCAGAGAAUCUUGGCCCCUCUAGGACCACUGCCCUCUCUCCUGUCAUGCAGCUAUGUCAGACACAGGCAACAGAAAAUGGGGCUUGUUUUCUUUUGAGUACGAGUGGUAUUUUGCCUGAUUAGCAGGGGCUUGAAACAAAAUGCACGGACACUUCGAGAGAAGUCACAGAAGUCAUCUAACAACACAUGAAAGUGUAUCAGAAGCACUGGAAGUGGCCACACUAGACAACGGCCUUAUUUCUAAGGGCCUGGAUCUGAUGCCAGCGCCGACGGGGAGUGAGGGAGGGGCCUCGCUGCCGCAGGUCCCACUCCCCCACCCCGGGAAAGGUCCAUUCCCAGAUAGGCAGCUGCGUGAAGAACCAGGACACCCUCCCUACACCCAGGCCCUGUCUGCUGCCCUCCUUGCCGGCGGGGUUGGCAAUACUCUUUGGCCCUCAGCCAACCUUGGCAUCGCCUUAAAUCACGGCAAACCUCAGCAAAUCUACCGAAUCACUCUUUUUUUCCAUAGCAGAAGAGUAACCUGAGAAAGAUUGGGGGUAGGGAGGAGGAGGGCAUGUGGGGGAUUGGUGGGAAGACCUGGGGAGGAGCCAGAUGGGCUGGGUGGGACCCUCUGCUGUCCCAGGAAGGGCAGAUGCCACCCUCUGCUGGCUCUAGUUUCUUCUGUAAAACAGAAGAGCCACGACUCUCUCACUCGCCCCAGCCCUGCCGGGACUGCAGUAGGCCAGGGUGAGAUGAGAUGACAGCCCUGACACACAGUAGGUCCUGGUGUGAGGUCCAGGAUGAGAUGACAGCCUGAGCACAUAGUAGGUCCUGGUGUGUCUGUGACAAUACAUUUUUUUAAGUCUGCCUGAGGAACUGUCAUAGUGACACAGAACCCAAAAUACUUUAGUUAUUAACAAAGAAAACUUUACUAUAAAAGCAAGGUUUCUAUUGAACUUGUUAUUUAUAGCUAUCUUUCCCAACUUGACUUCCAAGCCACUUGAACAAAGGGCCUGUGCCUUCUAUUCAAUAAGGGAACCCUCUGAGUGCCAGCCGGACCUCAUUAAGCAAGUCACUGUUGCAAAGACCCUGUGAUGAGGGCUACGAUGGGGACAUUCAGGGAGCGGUGGGAGCUCACAGCACUGUGACAUGGAAGCUGAGGCCGCGGGUAGGUGUAAGGGAGAGACUGGGGUGUGCCAAGGCCUGGGGUGGAGGAGGGAGGAAGACAUGGAGGGGCCGGGUCACAUGCUAAGAUGGGGGACCUCAGCUCUAGCGAAGGGGCUGAAUACGUGGAUCUGGUGGGAGGUCUGGUAAUGGAGGUCACACACCAAGGGAGGAGGCAGGACCGUCCUUGGCUGGUCACCUGGUGUGAAGCACAGGGUGCCAGAGAUGCUUGCUGCUGAGACAGCUGUCGACUAGAGAUCCACAGUGCUCGGCUCCUCCCAUCUUGUGCCACCCAGCGCUUCCCUCACCCUUGGGACUGUUCUCCACUCUCCUCUUUUCUCCUCGAACUGGGAAGUACAUCGGGGAACAGAUCUCAGCAGUUCCGUGCUGACUGAGAGGCACCCGGGGUACCUGGUGGACAGCAAGCUCUGAAGUGUCCAUCUUUGCAGAGGCUGUAGCACCGUUUACCCCAAGAGCAGCCUGUCCCCUCUCAGUGACACUUCCAGGCAGCCCAGCGUGCAGGUAAUGACGUCUGGGCUAUGAUGGAAUGUUCCUUAGAGAAUCCAUGGCUGACUGCAGCCAUCAAACACACUGGUGUGGUGGGCUGCUUCCGGCCUCCCAACCACACGCAGGUGAGUGAACGGAUCUGGCCCGACACGGGUCCCGGGCUGUGCGGAGCAGGACCGAGUGACAUUUUCGUUGAACGCGGUGGUAUUCGAAAAGCUAUUAAGGUACAUUAUUUUACACAUCCUCCUAAUCUCUCCAUACUGCUUUACUUAAUUUGUGAUGAAAUUGUUGAGAAAGGGUACUUAAUGUAGGACAGUCAGUAAAAGUAAUUUAUCAUCUUCCCGCUUCAGUGCGCACGUUAUCAGCGAACUCAUUUUCUGCAUUCAUCAUGCAAUCAGCCUAUUAUUUGCAUAUUAAUCAGGCAGUGGACCAUGAAAGAACUGCAUCCCAGCCAAAUGCUGCACUAUCUCAGGAGAAACACGCAGUAAUUAUCAUACAUCAGUGUUAUGAUGUGGUAAUUGAUUAUAACAUCUUUCUGCUGCCCCUGGGGAGCCCCUCUGCUCACCCGGCUCCAGGCACGCUGGACAGAUUGUUCUUUUCCUCCAAAAAUCAGAGUUCCUGCUGCUGUUCUCUGAGUGCUAUUUCUGUGGAGUAUCGAUCCUUUCUUCCGAUUUCAUGAUGUAUUUACCUAAACCGCAUGAAACUAAACUGAUCAUAGCUUAGGGAUGAGAGGGCCAGGCCGGGUGGCAGGCGCGUCCCUCUGGAGUCCGUUCUCUCUCCUCAGCCUUUCGGCUUCAGAGGCGCUGCUCUGGCUUCCGAGAAAGUUCCCUUAUCAAAUGAAAUGCUACAACGUCAGUCCCUCCUUAUUGCAAAGUUGGUACAAAGGCAGUUUGGCUGCUUUAUUUAGGAGCCAAAUGGCAGACUAAUUUCGGCCCUCUCAUAAAGGACAAACCCAACAUCUGCCAAUUCAGACUCAGGUUAUAUUUAGGCAUCCAGUUCCAAAGGGAAGAACAAAACACAGAAUCAAGAUGAAGCGGGUGACCGAGCUCCUGGCUCAUGCUGCUCCAUCUGGGACCCCGCCCCACUCUGCAUGGGGAGGCUGACUGGGGCCCAAGGGCUGGUCAGCAUGGGGCCGGGCUCCCGGGCUGUCUCAGGGCCCUGGCAGGGAGAGAGCAUGACAGCUGAAGGGCGAGGCUGUCCUUUAGGAAGGGAAAGGACCCCGGGCCACUGUGUGAUUUUCCUUGGGCUCAGCCUGGAAGGGGUUUCAAAGCAGUGUGGACCUGCAUCACAGGCCAGAUGGUCACACACUUUCAGCUGGAAAACUUCAUGAAGCUGGGUCUGACUCUCUUGCUGCUUUUCAUUGGGUUCUCUCUCCUCCUCUGUCCAGCUCCUGGCUAAAGCGCAUGGGAUGCGUCUGAUUUUCUAUUAAUUGUCUUGGGUCUGGUUUUUGACAUUUGCCCAUUUAUAACGUGAACCCAGUUUUGUUCCUUGUUUUGAGUGUAGUUCCAGGGACCAACCCUUCCCCCAUCUUGGGGGACCAAGUCCUCAGGGCUGGUGACGGCUCGCCUGGACCCAGGCCUCCUGUGGACACCUCCAUGGCAGCCAGACCUCUGGUCUCAGGACCACGCGGGCUUCCUCCACUUCCUCCUUGGCCUCAUCUCUGAGCCAUGGUUUUCUCAGUCCAUAAAACGGGGAAAUCAUUUCCACUUACUGACGAAGAAUUAAAGGUAUUUAGCACUGUGUGUGACACAAAAAAAGAUGCAAAUAUAUGUUUCCUCGUUUUAUUCUUACCACUUGUAAAAAACUACCUGAGGAUUUUUAGGCAUUUAAGCUUCUUCAUCCUUCUCUACAACCAAACCAUUGAAAACGAAAGACCUUAUUUGCUCCUAUGACCUACUUUGCCUCUUGUGCGGAAUGCCCAAUGUACUGUAAAUUUUGUUUUCCAAAGAAAAUCUAAAGGGCAAAGAAAGGAGAUGUGCCCAGAGGCCCGUGACUAGGGCCUGCUGGGCCUUCUCCAAAGAGGAGUCGGGGAGUGCCAGCAAGGAGGGUCCAGGCAAAGCCACCGAGAGAACCAAGCGAGAGGGGGCCGAUAGUCACCCCCACAUCCAGACAGGAUGGCCUCGUUCCGCAGGAGUUUGCCCCAAAUGGCCUGACCUGUGGUCUCGCUCGAAGCUCAGGAUUUUGGGUCAACUUUAAGGAAUGGCAGAUGGACGGGCAACUUCCAAAGACAGACAGCAUUUCAGAGAAGCCAAGGGUCAGGGAGCUGCACGCAGGUCCUCCUCUAGCCGACCCUUCGUGCCAGCCUCCACCCAGCGACGCUCCUACUUCAGUCUCCACCCAGGGAGUGAGCCGUGGGACUCCUUUUCUGUUUUAAAGGCAGAGGCCUGACAUUUUGCGCGUGCACAUAUAUUAUUCCACUGCUCUCGCACACACACAAAAGACACUUAGCGGCAGACGUUGUACUGGCAGCAGCAGAAAAGUGAACAUUCAAAUAGCGCUUCCUCUGUGGCAGCCGCUGCUAUGGACCCUUUUAUAUACGAACCUCCCAAUGGUCCAGGAGACAGGCACUUCAUUUUUCCUAGUUGACAGAAGAAACUGAGACACAGAGAGGUCAAGUCACUUGCCCAAGGCCACACAGUCACUCAGUGGCGCAGGUGGGACCAGCCCUAGGCAGCCUGCUCUGAGCGCGCUGUGUCACACUGCUGGUCACACCUGCUCAAGGCUGGUCACUGCAGGAGGGUUUCACGUUUUGCUGUUAAAAUCAAUCUAAAUAUCUCUGGCUAGUGACUGGUUACAUAAACUCUGGUAAAUUCAGAUACAGGAAAUCUCUGCAGCUGUGAAAAGAACAGGGCCUUCUUCGCGUCCUGGCCCAGGAGCGUCCCCAUGGGGUCUUGCUGGUGAGGAAAGAAGACACAAUGCCUUGAAUCCAGUCUGUUCUGUUCUGUGGAACCAACACCUAGAUGCGCGGAGUGUCUGCAGGAACCCGGGAACAGACCGCCUCUGGGAGGGCGACUGACCUUUCAGAGUGUGAGCCCUUUUCCAGCUUGCAUUUUGUAACCGUGGUGCACUUAUUAAAAACACUCCCUACAAAUCAUAAUUAAAAAAAAAAGUCAAGUAA